rnacentral:rRNA from 1 species
GGACCGAGAAGGACACACCGCUGGUGUACCAGUUAUCGUGCCAACGGUAAACGCUGGGUAGCUAUGUGUGGCAAGGAUAACCGCUGAAAGCAUCUAAGUGGGAAGCUAUUCUUAAGAUGAGUACUCUUUGAGGUCACGGCGAGACUAGCCGUUUGAUAGACAUCAAGUGUAAGUGCAGUAAUGUAUUCAGCUGAGAUGUACUAAUAGACCAU